AAACCUUAAGAUAAUAAAGUAUAAAACCAUAUGAUUGCCUCUGCUUUACAAAGGAAACACUUUCCGGACAAUUUGCCCUGUCUCUGAAAAUGUUUCAAAUUUUGGUGUCUGCUCUGCUGUUUACAGCUUCCAUUUCGGGUGUCCUUGGAGCACCUUUUCUGAGAGAAGAAUCAGCAAAUCAAUUUAUACGACUUAAACGACACAUACCAUAUUCUCAGAACUACUGGGACCCAAGCAGCAGCCAGAAUGCAUGGGGAUACACUGUGGCUGAACAGGUUAGUGAAUCAUGGACAGCCUUGAGAGACACAGCACAAUACUAUAUGGACUUCGGUUCUUUUGCCUUUGAUCCUUCAACUGCCAGCUGUGAAAAAGAAAGAUCUUUCCCAGAAGAGCCUCAAGUUUUAAAAACCACAUGGGAAGACUCAAGAGUUUCUUCUUUCAAGAUGAUGUCAAUCGUGAAAAUCAUGCUUCUGCACAUCAUUCGAUAAAACCUGAGUCUCAAUCCUAACAACUUCUGUAAAGCCCAAGACCGCCUCUCAAAACUUUUCUGCUGUCCCUCACCCAAAGGACUCCAAGGACCAUGCACAAGCUGGGAAAGCCCCCCUGAAGGCAUCCAAGGUGCUGGACUUUGGUCCCAGGAGGCUGGAGGGUAGAAGAGGGGUCAUACCCAGCUCACAAGUCUGUUCCCACCAGGCUGUUGCUCAGCAGCGCAUACAGAAGGAGCUGUAUCUCAUGUCUGUCCUACCUGUGUGAGAGCUUCUCUUCACCACAGCAUUUCAGAGGAAAUGAAUGAGGGCAUCAACUCAUUUGUGGCAACUUUUUAUAAACAGUGAGGAAUGUGUGGCCAUAUGGAGUGGUGCACUGAGCUAACAGACUGGUGUGAAUCCUCUUCUGGGAAGCUAAUCUCUCUGUCAAGAAAAAGCAAAACAAAGGAACUCAGCAAACAUGCACCCAGGAUUCUCCAGAUGAUAAAAGCUCAAAAUAAGUGGCACUACCUCACAUAUGCUGUGUGUAAGCACAAGUACAGUUACUUCAGUGUAGCUGGCAUAGAAUAACUCGAAGCAUGAUAACCCACUACGCUGCAGUUUGCUCCCUCCAUUUCAAAGAUGGAUUUCAGCUAUGGAGAGCUUUCCCUGGGGUUUUGAGGAGAGACCGUAGCUCUCAACUGUGGGCAGCCUUGCUCAUUUCAAGGAGCUCUACCUCAUGUGCCAUCAGCGAUGCUUUAGAUAGUAUUCUAAGUCUUUUCCCUUUUCUAGUGCUUAUCAAAGGACUAAAAGGUGACCGUGAAGAUCUACAGGGGCACUUGAUUAACAGAGGAGAGGAAGACAAAGGAUGCAUAAAUCAAGGAGAAAAAGUCUUUAAUGACAGGAUGAGACUGUAAAGUUACAUGCUCACAUGAAAGGAGAUGCCAAUAGUUAACAUUUCAUUGAAGGAGCUCUGGCUUUAAAAGUUUGGAGGGCAGUGUGGAAAGUGUUUCUAAUAUUUCAAAACCAGCUACUACAAUUUAACCUAAUAAUAUCAAAGAACACACUGAAAGAAAGGACUUUUAGGUAAAGACACUCUUACCAGCAACUAUCCAACCUGUUUGAGUCGUACCUCAUGGUAAACCAUCUCACACCACCAAAAUCUGCAACUUCCAUUUGUUAUCUCUUUUUUUUUCUCAACUGUGCCAUUUCUACAUUGACCUGCAAAUUAUUUGUAUGCCCCAGAUUGUGACCAUAAAGAGCUGUACAAAUGCUUUUUAAAAUAAAUAUUUGAGCAAAUCA